UUGACUACCUGGUCAGGGGAGAUUACCAUGAUCACGAAGGUGGUUCCAGACGCGAGGCUUAUUCCAUUGCACUCCUGGAUGUUGCGACCUGUGCGAUAUCCCCAAAUGUGGGAAACUCGACUGUUAUAUAUUUGUAGGUAGUGGGGCGGGUGGUUCACGCUUUUUCCGG
rnacentral:snRNA from 1 species